UAGGGAAUCUUCCACAAUGGGCGAAAGCCUGAUGGAGCAACGCCGCGUGGAGUGAAGAAGGGUUUCGGCUCGUAAAACUCUGUUGUUAAAGAAGAACAUAUCUGAGAGUAACUGUUCAGGUAUUGACGGUAUUUAACCAGAAAGCCACGGCUAACUACGUGCCAG
rnacentral:rRNA from 1 species